GGUGAAUGACUUGCCUUUAUUUUGAAUGAAGAUAUGGAAUUCAAGCAUGCGCAGUGUAAAUACUGUUUAUUUUGUUUGUCAUCUCUUUUGGGGAUUCUUUUGGCACUAAUACUAAGACUACUGGCCUGGGUUUUAAUAUCAAUUUGCUUGUGUUCUUCUGAUUUGAGGCUGAGAAGUUGCUACAAUUAUUAAGAUUUGCUUCCCCAACAAUGUUUCUUUGAAAUCCUUUGUAUCCUGAACUUGUGGUUCUUCUUGCUUGCCAAAAAAAAAACCAACAACUAAAGAGCUUGACGUCAUGGUGACUGAAUAAAGCAAUACCUGAAUUUCAUUGAAAUUUAUGAGUCCCCUUUUAUUUGAGAUGGAAACCAUCAGCGGCCAAAAAGGGAAACCAAAAGAAAAAAUCAUGUAACCUUAGAAUUUAUUUUGGCUUCCUCGGCCAAGCACAGAUAACUAGAAUAAGGCUUAGUUGAGUUGAUGUUAUAUUUUCAUGGCACUUUCAAUACCGUGAAAUAACAUACCUUUAUGGUUUUGUUGAGCAUAAGGUUGUGUGAUCAAAGAUUCAUUUGUUUGCAUACAUCUUUAAAUGAUUGUGAUCAUGCUUUUCAGUGAUUCAGUUGUGAAAAUACUACAUGAGAAAGUUAGAGACACAGUAAUAUGAAAACAGACAGAGGAUACUUUCCAACUUAAUGGGGAGUGACACUGCUGUUGUGGAACUUCCUUAUUACUGUACCAUUAAGGUGCAUCGUUUAAUCUGCUUAAAGCUAAAGAGUUAUAUUGAUAGAAUAUCUCAGAUAUUUUCUGCCAUUGAAUCUGCUCGACCACGAUGUGGAACAGGAAUGCAGGCACUGUGCUCAUUACACCAUGCGAUGGAUAAAGCCAAGCUUCUUAUCCAGAACUGCACUGAGUCUAGUAAAUUAUACUUGGCAAUUACAGCAGAUAAAAUAGUUUUGAGAUGUGAAAGAAUAUGCAACUGUUUGGAGUCGAGUUUAAGACAACUUCAAAAUAAUGUUCCAACAUUGUUGGCUGCAAAGAUAUCUGGUAUUGUUGAAGACCUUAAGGGUGCAAAAUUUACUGUGGAAUCUGCUGAUGAUGAGGCUGGAAGGGUUGUUCUAGCAUUGGUUCGGCAGGGCAUGCCUGACUCUGAAUCUAUAAAUAUUUCUGAACUUGAAGCUAUUCAAAUCGCUGCUUCAAGGCUGAAUAUUGCAUCCCAUAUGGCACUCUUGAUUGAGAAAAGGUCUAUAAAGAGGCUAAUCGACAAAGUUCCUGACACAAACCUAACAAAGAUGAAAAUCUUGAAGUACCUCCUAUAUCUUCUGAGGAAGUAUGGAGAUUCAAUAAGGAGCCGCAAUACUGAGAGCACUACUAUGUAUCAGUCCAUUGAGCAAGAACCACAUGAAGAAAGUGCAAUAUAUGAAACUCUAGCUGAUGACUUCAGUGUAACCAAACCUCCUGAGGAAUUCAAAUGUCCCAUCUCUAUGAGACUGAUGUAUGAUCCUGUUGUUAUAGCUUCUGGGCAAACAUAUGAAAGAUUCUGGAUAACUAAGUGGUUCAAUGAUGGGAAUGAUACAUGUCCAAAGACACAUGAAAAGUUGUCUCAGUUUUUCCUCACUCCAAACUCCACAAUGAAGAACCUCAUUUCGAGGUGGUGCUUGAAGCAUGGGAUCAGUAUUUCUGAUCCAUGUUCACAACAAGCUCCUGAAUCCCUUCCUUUGCAGAAACUUUCACCAUCCACUUCCAUUGCUAGCUUUGCCAGUUCUCUGAAUGGUCUGUGCCUGCAAACCAGCAGUGUGUCAUUACACUCUACAGACACCAAUUUUCCUUCAAAUAAAUUGGACAUAAGGAUGGAUAUCCUGCAAACCAGCAGUGUGUCAUUACACUCUACAGACACCAAUUUUCCUUCAAAUAAAUUGGACAUAAGGAUGGAUAAUGGCUCUGCACACGAGCUUCCUCAGAUGAAUGCUGAUUCUCAGGGAUGCCAAUCUUCUGCAAAUAGGCAUGGCAUGAAUUUUGCCUUUCUCUCCAAACUUGCUGCACUUCCAUGGGAAUCCCAGUGCAAGGAGAUUGGAAACGUAAGAGAUCAACUGAAAGACAGUAUUCAAGCAUGUCAUUCUACAUUUUCCUCUAGUUACAUCAAACCGCUGAUUAGAUUUUUGAAGGAUGCAUGUGAAAAUGGCAAUUUACAAGCACAGCGAGAUGGAGCUCUAGUUCUUUUGUAUUUUCUAAAUAAGCGCAGAAGUGAAAUGCCACCCUUACAUGAAGAUGCAAUUUAUGUUUUAGCAUCAUUUCUGGACUCAGAAAUCACUGAAGAAGCGCUUGCAAUCAUGGAAGUGUUGUCUUGCCAACGUCAUUAUAAGUCAGAAAUUGUGGCAUCUGGUGUUCUUCCUUCCAUCAUAAAAUUCCUUGACACCAAAAUGAAGAAAUUCCAUGUGCUUGCUCUGAAAAUACUCUGCAAUUUGUCCUCAAACCAUGAUAUGGGAUACCACAUUGUCUAUUUGGAUUGCAUCCCAAAGCUGGCUCCAUUCUUUGUUGAUCACAAACUUGCAGGAUAUUGCAUUAAAAUUUUCAGAAACUUGUGUGAUAUUGAGGAGGCUAGGAUUACAGUGGCUGAGACCAAUCAAUGCAUCGAUUUCAUUGCUAAAAUACUAGAAAAUGGCAGUGAGGAGGAGCAAGAAGAUGCCUUGGAAGUUCUUCUUUCUCUAUGUCAUUACAGGGAGUAUGGUCAGCUUUUCAGGGAAGAUCACAUUGUUCAAUCAUUGUUCCAUAUCUCUCUCAAUGGGAAUGCCAGAGGACAGGAGAUUGCUAAGGAAUUACUCCAGCUUUUGAGAAAUAUUAAAAAUGACCCCGUUCUAGAAUGUUCAAGUUCUAGUUCUACCUCCGAUGAAGUCAUACAAGAUUUUGUUAUCAACUCCAAAGGAAAGAAACUGCCGUUGAAGGCAUCUAGAAUUCUGGGAAAGAAAAUAUUAAGAUUCAGAAAACCAAGAAGCUAGUGUUGCUUUGACCCUUUGGUGACUUCAAAACUGUCUCAACUGUUCCACAUUGCUUGAUGGGAUUCUGGGGAUGAGCUUUCCACCAUUAGUCAUUACAUGAAUCAUAUAUUGUGACUGGCUAUAUGUAUGAUCCCAACAAUGUGUUCCUGCCCUUUUUGUACUUAACAGAUCAGCAAGCUGGAGUAGCUCAGUUGGUUAGAGCGUGUGGCUGUUAACCACAAGGUCGAAGGUUCAAGCCCUUCCUCUAGCGUUUUCCGGUCUAGCUGGCUCAGUUGGUUUGCUAUGACUUUAUAUAUAUAAAGGACUGUGAUAUUGAAAAAGAAAGGUGUAGUUCAGUGAUAUAGAAUUUGAUUAUAAAUCAAUUUAAUUUUUUU